rnacentral:rRNA from 1 species
GUGGGGAAUAUUGGACAAUGGGCGAAAGCCUGAUCCAGCCAUGCCGCGUGUGUGAAGAAGGUCUUCGGAUUGUAAAGCACUUUAAGUUGGGAGGAAGGGUAGUAACCUAAUACGUUGCUACUUUGACGUUACCGACAGAAUAAGCACCGGCUAACUUCGUGCCAGCAGCCGCGGUAAUACGAAGGGUGCAAGCGUUAAUCGGAAUUACUGGGCGUAAAGCGCGCGUAGGUGGUUCAGUAAGUUGGAAGUGAAAUCCCCGGGCUCAACCUGGGAACUGCUUUCAAAACUGCUGAGCUAGAGUACGGUAGAGGGUAGUGGAAUUUCCUGUGUAGCGGUGAAAUGCGUAGAUAUAGGAAGGAACACCAGUGGCGAAGGCGACUACCUGGACUGAUACUGACACUGAGGUGCGAAAGCGUGGGGAGCAAACAGGAUUAGAUACCCGAGUAGUCC